AUGUACUUAGCUCAAUGGUUAGAGCAUCACUCAUGAAUGCUGAGUAUGUGAGUUUGACUCUCACAGUACACA
rfam:Puccinia triticina 1-1 BBBD Race 1 supercont2.1146, whole genome shotgun sequence.